GAGAUCAAGACUUGAACUGAGAUCAAGAGUCAGACGCUUAACGGACUGAGCCACUCAGGCACCACCCCCAGUUUACAUUCUUAUAAUUCUCCAGACUUUUUAAAGGACUCUUAGUACAAGUAUCCAGAGAUGACUGCGGUCUUGCAGUGAAUAAUCCAGUUUUCCUUUUGUUUUUAAAACACUUCUGCAUUUCUUCCAUCACUGCUUCUCAAUCUUGGGCACUGCUGACACGUUGGACUGGAUACUCCCUUGG